rnacentral:rRNA from 1 species
GGCGGCAGGCCUAACACAUGCAAGUCGAGCGGAUGAGAAGAGCUUGCUCUUCGAUUCAGCGGCGGACGGGUGAGUAAUGCCUAGGAAUCUGCCUGGUAGUGGGGGACAACGUUUCGAAAGGAACGCUAAUACCGCAUACGUCCUACGGGAGAAAGCAGGGGACCUUCGGGCCUUGCGCUAUCAGAUGAGCCUAGGUCGGAUUAGCUAGUUGGUGAGGUAAUGGCUCACCAAGGCGACGAUCCGUAACUGGUCUGAGAGGAUGAUCAGUCACACUGGAACUGAGACACGGUCCAGACUCCUACGGGAGGCAGCAGUGGGGAAUAUUGGACAAUGGGCGAAAGCCUGAUCCAGCCAUGCCGCGUGUGUGAAGAAGGUCUUCGGAUUGUAAAGCACUUUAAGUUGGGAGGAAGGGCAUUAACCUAAUACGUUAGUGUUUUGACGUUACCGACAGAAUAAGCACCGGCUAACUCUGUGCCAGCAGCCGCGGUAAUACAGAGGGUGCAAGCGUUAAUCGGAAUUACUGGGCGUAAAGCGCGCGUAGGUGGUUUGUUAAGUUGGAUGUGAAAGCCCCCGGGCUCAACCUGGGAACUGCAUCCAAAACUGGCAAGCUA